rnacentral:lncRNA from 10 species
CUUCAGUUUCUUUGGUAAAUAGGUCUGCCAGGUCAGCCACAGUCAAGACAGAGGCCUCUGAAUGCUUUGCUGAUGAGUUCGUGUGACUGCAAGGUUUCCCAAAUGAGCACAGUCAGAAAGAAACCCCAAGCCAUCAGCGAUUAUAUUUGUAGUAAUACGAACUAGACACAUAUUUUUUCUUAAGUUUUUGUAAUUGGGAUAUAAGAAACUCCCAGAGGAAAGCAAGUGAUAAAAUCUUUGUUAUACCUUGUCAAAGUGAAGAUUUCUAUAUAUUACUUUUAGUGUUUGUCAAAGUGUUUUUUCUCUGUGCAAUUAAUAGAACAAAGAAUAAAACUCUUGACUACUGCUACUAAGGCUCUCACCUUACAAAUUACCUUCUUACCACCUGAAGUUAAUUUGUUUCAAGAGAAUUUCAAACAACUCAUAACUGCUAUUUUAUUAAAACAACCUAAAUAAAAAUCACUGAAGUCUGAUACACAAGGAAAACAAGAACUUUAAAAAGCCUUCAUGUUUUAGGUAAAAAGGCCCUUGUGGAAGCCUCUUUCCUUCCCAGAAACCAUCAAUGGAAGAAAAUUUCUAGUUUCAAAUUGCUUCUUUGCUAUGUGACAAUCCCUUCUAAGGCAAUAAUCUCUUCCUUGGGUACCAUCCAAUCCUACCUACCUCCUAAAGAUGUAGAAAGAUUUAUGUUUUCAAAAAGAUUUAAAUAAAUUAUACCAUAAAUAUUAGAAAGUUCUAUGAUUCCAGAGUCAAGCUUUUAAAAUUAAGACUGGUUUAGUCUCUCUGCUUUUGUUUUGUCUUUGGAUUGACACCACAAUUAACCUUAACAAGUUUGUUUUUUUUUUUUUUUUUUUUGAGACACAGACUCGUUCUGUUGCCCAGGCUGGAGUGCAGUGGCACGAUCUUGGCUCACUGCAACCUCCACCUCCGGGGUUCAAGCGAUUCUCCUGCUUCAGCCUCCCGACUAGCUAAGACUAUGGUGCGUGUCACCAUGCCUGGCUAAUUUUUGUGUUUUUAGUAGAGAUGGGGUUUCACCAUGUUGGCCAGGCUGGUUUCGAACUCCCAGCCUCAGAAAGUGAUCCAAUGUGGCAAAGGAAUGUAGUAUAGUUUAUAUUUACAUGUUACAAUUAAUAAAUUAAUUCAAAUAUACAAAGUCUGGAGCACUGACUGGGAAACAGUGAAAAGGCAAAACGUCAGACUUUGCUUUUAAAAACGUAUUUGUGCUAUAUUUUUCGUUGUCAUCUAAGUGAAGAAGUUCUAAAGAUACAAACUUUUAACAGGAAAACCUUCCCCCUUCUACUUGUGGUAAAUUAUUACCUACCUUCUCUCAGCAGUUUUCAGCAUUGCCUGCAUUCUUUCUUCUAUUGUUGCUUUAAUUAAGAAUCUGUGUACAAUAGUAGGUCUAAAAGGUACAGAAGAAUUUUAAGCUUAAAAACAUAGUAAAACAAAUCAGUACAAACCGACUUCACAUUUUAUAUGCUAUAUUCAUCAGUCAGUUGGUGCCCACUUGUGGCAGGUGCUGGGAGGGGUUCAGCAGCGAAUAAAAUGAACUAUUUAAUCUCCAUGAGCUGACAUUCUAAUGAGAGACAGACAAUAAACACAUAAAAGAGUAAGACGGUUUCAGGUAAAUAUAAUGCUGGGAGAACAGGCUGACAUGCAAACUGAAAAAAGAGUGAUGGGAAUGAGGCCAGUAGGCAAAGGAGGAGUAGGAAGAAUAUCCAAACAGAAGAAACAGCACAUACAUACACAGUCCCCGGGAAGGGAAUAUGCCUGGAACAAGCCUAACAUGUUCAAGAGGCCAAAAGAAGGCUGGCAUGGCAGAAGCAUCCUAAAUCCCUUUGGCAACCGUGUGGAGGAUGUACUUCUUGCUCAGCAAGAAGAGCACCAGAGAAGCCAGUUAAGAAGUCCUGUAGUCAUCUGGGUAAGUAAGGGUGGAUGCACUAUGGUUGUGUCAGUGGAGAUAGCAGUCAAGUAGAUUUGGAAUAUCUUUUGGAGGUAGAGCUGACAAAACUUAAAAGAUGACUGGCAUGUGAGAUGUGAAAAGAAAAAUAUAGAAGAGUCCGAGAUUUCUGAUCUGGGCAGGAACAGAUGACAGUGCCACAUUAUAAGAUGGGGAAAGCUCAGGGUGGGAGUGAGAGUGCAGAAGCAACACAGUUUUGUUUUGUCCAUGUGAAACCUAUCAGAUACCUAUUAGACAGGUAUCCAAGGUGAGUCCAGAGAUAUGUGUGCAGAGCUAGAACUGGAUAUAUGCACCUGGGACAGGAGCUAUAUGGGCAUGUCUGGGCUGGGGGAUAUACACCUGAGAGUCAUCAACCUGUAAAAGCUACCUAAAGCCCUAAGACUGGAAAAAUUCAUCGAAGGGGUGUAGACAAAGAACCCUCAGACCACUGGCAAGAAGUAGGUCACUAGAAAUGUUAUAAGUCUCACUUCAGUGAUAUGGUGGGGAGAAAAUCAACCAGACAGGUUGACAGAGAAUGGGGGAUAAAAAAGUAGAGAUGGAGGUAGGAUGUAUCAGAGUGUUUUUUUCUUUCUAAAGAUGGAUAAUAUUAAGACAUAUUUAUGGGGUAAUAUAUGACAGGUUGAGUAUCCCUAACCAAAAACCCAAAAUCCAAAACUUUUUGAGUGCCAACGUGACAAGUGGAGGAUUCAACACCUGACUUCACGUGAUGAGUCACAGUCAAAACACAUUAAAAACGUUGUUUUGUGCACAAAAUUAUUUAAAAUAUUAUAUAAAAUCACCUUCAGGCUAUGAGUAGAAUUUGUAUAUGAAACAUAAAUAAAUUUCAUGUUUAGACUGGGGUUUCAUUCCUAAGAUAUCUCACUAUGUAUAUGCAAAUAUUCUAAAAUCUGAAAAAAUCCUACAGGCAAAACACUUGAAGCAUUUCAGUUAAGGGAUGCUCAACCUGUACAAGGGAAAUGUACACCUGUCCUUGAAAAAUGAGAAAGAAUGGAGUCCAGGACAAAUGAAUGGAUGGCUUUUGAAAGAAAAGGGACACUUCUGCUGUAAUAAAAGGGAAGGCAUAUGAGGUACUUUCCUGCUUAUUACUGGAUGACAUAUCCAUGCUUCUGCCUACUACCAACCCCUUCCUCCACUUCAGUGUUUGAUCCCAUAUCCUCUUGCCUACUCAAGGACAUUGUCAAGCAUUCUCCCUGUUCUCCUUCACUAGUUUUUGUUGUCUCUAAUGAAUCAUUUUCUUACUAAUUCUCCCAUUUGAAAGGAAAACAAAAACCUCUCUUGAUCUCAUUCUCUUCCUUUUCUCUGCAGCAAAACUCCUCAAAAUACUGGCCUUACCAGCCACACAGAAGCAGCAGUGCACUGUGGUUAAAGCUUGUACUGUGAAGGCAGAAUGGCUGUGCCUGAAAUCUGCCACUGCUUCUACUAGCUGCCUGACUAUGGGCAAGUUACCUAACCUCUCUUUGUUAUACAAAUAUUUGUUAAAUAAGAAAUACACAAAAUCCCAUUUUCUCCAAAACUAAAGUCAGGCUGUCACCUCUACCACUUAACCUGGUUUUGAUCUCCAUGUUGCUAAAUCUAAUGAUCAAUUCUCAAUCCUUAUCUUCCUUGACAUUUUUCAUAGCACUUGAAACAGGUGACCAUAACCUCUUCUUUGAGGUACAUUUUUCACUUGGUUCCUAGGACACUCCUGUCUUCUGGUUUUCUUCCUAACUCACUGUUUGAUCUUUAUUUGUUACCUUUGCUGCUUCCUUCUCCUCUCCUAGAACAGCUGAACUUUGGUGCCCUGGAGUUCAGUCCAUGGUCCUCUAUCUAAACUCUGUCUCUAUCUAAACUCACUCCUAGGUAAUCUCAUUCAGUCUCGUGACUUAAUGGACUUGUACAUCUAGUUACAGAAUAGAAAUCUCCAUUUGGAUGUCUGUUCUUCCCUUACCAAAUCUGCUCUACCCUGUAGACUUCUCCAGCUCAGUUGAAGGUUACUUCAUCCUUCUAGUUGUCCAAGCCAAAACCCAUGGUGUUAUCCUUGACCCUCUCAUACCCCAUGUCUAGUCUGUCCAAAAGUACUAUCAGUUCUAUCUUCAAAAUAUAUCCAGAACCUGACCACUCCUCAUCAUGUGCACUGCUACUGCCAUGGUCAGGUCACCUUCAGCUCUCACCAGGAUGACUGCAAUAGCCUCCAAGACUCUCCCUGCUUCUACUCUUCCUUGCUCCCCUUCACUCCCACCCUAUCACAGCACUCAGAAUGAUUCUUUUAAAACUUAAGUGAGAUAUGCCAAGCCUCUGUUCAAAGCCUUCCAAUGGCUCCCGAUUUCACACAGGGCAAAAGCACCAUCCUCACAGUGGCUUCCUGGGCCCAAUGUAAUCCCUCUCCCCACUGAGCCCAUUCACUUCAACUCCUGCUUCUCUCCCUUUUAGCAACUGUAGCUCCUUGCUAUUCUUCUAACAUACCACACUCCUGAUUUAGGGCCUUUGCACCGAAAGCACUGUUUACUUGAACAUUCUUUCACAAGAUAGCUGCAUGACUAACUUUCCCAUUUUCCCAUUUCUUUCAAGUCCUUGCUCAGACUUUCUCAAUAAGGCCUUGCAUGCCUUCCUGCCCAAACAUUGCACUUUUACUUCCUCACCCUGCUCUACUUUUCCAGCUCCUAACAUAGUCCAGAUUGUACUUAGUUUAUUGUUUACCACCUUUCUGUCUACCAACCCCAUUACAGCUAGAAUCGCACUCCAUGAGGACAUCUCAUGUUCCUAAAACAGUGCCUGGCACACAGAAGAUACUCAAUAAAAAUCUACCAAAAAGUAUGUGAGUACUGAUGCAGGCAGACUGUUCAAGUUGAUGAUGGAAAGAUGAGGUACUUCUAAUCUGAUUGUAUAUGUUUCCCCUGUAUGAGGCAAGAUCGCCAUGGGGAGGAAGAAGACACACUUAAGACAGACUCCUCAGAAAGUAGAAAAAAACAUAUUGACUU